AACGCAUUAGUCGACAUAUAGAUGGCGCCACUCUCGGCAUCUCACUACUGGGGUGGGAAGCGCGGCCCAGUACUCUCACACGGGUUGUCAAAAGCCGCAUGCGUGCGACCACGAGCUCCCACCUCCUAAUCCAGGGUGCUAUGCGACCCCCUUGACCAUUGGAUGAUUUGCCCUAACGGAGCCUUGCCGACACUACAGGUUCAGCUCGGUAGUCCAGAGGCCAUAUAAACCUAAGACGACCACCGGAAGUGGAGCAGUGGAAAAAUGCUGGUGAAUGAGGAUGCUUCUUACUCCGGCGCAAGUACAUCAAAGCUGCAACUGCUGAGACUACGCAGAAGGCAGAUACGGUUCACAUCGGAAUACCUGGGCAUACUGCUGAUCCAGGAACCAUGGGUCUACAAGGCAAAGUCAGAGGCCUCAAAACGGAGACAAUCAAGAGUUCCUAACACAGGACCAGGUCACUAUGCAAGCAAAGGAUAACGAAGGAACGGACUAGCAGCGACGGGUAUACGCAACAAAACAUAAAACACUGGCAUUUCAUCUUUUCUGUCAUCAUGCGACCGAAACUGUAUGGCAUGAAAUAUAUUCAAUCAAUUGCUAAACAUUUGCAAUGUGCAGUCUCGAAGAAAUGCGAAUUCCUUUGAUGUCGCUCAGUUCUUUCAUACGAGCGACACGAGUCCAGCAACUCGAAUCGAGUUUUUCUGUCAUUCCGUUUCACAA